AUAAAAACUACCAAUCCAAUUCUUUGAAGUGGGCUACAACUGCUUUCCUCCUUUUCCCUCUUUCCACAAUUUUCAACCUGUAUAAAUUAGCAGAUACAUUCAUCAUCUUGACUUCAUCAUUCAUCAACUUUUUUUUUUGGCUGCUUUUUCGUUUCACUAUCUUUAAUAGUUUUCAGCUUUUUUUUUUUUGCCUUUUCGCUUUUUAUGUCAUUCAUUCUUUUACUCAAAUCCCAUUUGGCUAUUGGACAGAAGAAGCUAGACCCUUAAUUACUUAUUAUCGAAGUUUUCUUGACUUGUAUCUGUCUUUUGAUUCAUUUGCUAAAAUCUCAUUUGGAUUUUGAGCAAAAGAAAAGCUGUUUACUACUAGUUCUUAAGUUGGUGAAGUGAAGUGAAGUGAAAUUUUGUGAUUUUGGUUGUAAUGGCAGCUCCAAAACCUGAAGAGAUAAGCCAUCCUCCUAUGGAUCAACUUCAGGGGUUAGAGUAUUGUAUUGAUUCUAAUCCUUCUUGGGGGGAAGCAAUAGCACUGGGAUUUCAACACUAUAUAUUGGCAUUAGGAACAGCAGUGAUGAUUCCAACAUUUCUUGUUCCUUUAAUGGGUGGGACUGAUGGUGAUAAGAUUAGGGUAGUUCAGACUCUACUCUUUGCACAAGGAAUUAACACAUUACUCCAAACAUUAUUUGGGACACGACUGCCGACUGUUAUUGGAGGAUCUUGGGCGUUUAUGGUACCGAUAAUUUCCAUAAUUCAUGAUCCAUCCUUGGCUGCAAUAACUGAUCCUCAUUCAAGAUUUCUCAAUACAAUGAGAGCAAUACAGGGUGCACUGAUUGUAGCUUCAAGUGUGCAGAUUGUUUUGGGAUAUAGUCAACUUUGGGCUAUAUGUUCUAGGUUUUUCAGCCCACUUGGGAUGGUUCCAGUAAUAUCAUUGGUGGGCUUUGGCCUUUUUGAUAGAGGCUUCCCAGUGGUUGGCAGGUGUGUGGAGAUUGGAAUUCCCAUGCUCAUCUUAUUUGUUGCCUUCUCUCAGUACUUGAAACAUUUUCAGACGAGACAACUGCCAGUAUUGGAGCGUUUUGCUCUUAUAAUCUCAGUCACAGUUAUUUGGGCUUAUGCACAUCUCCUCACAGCCAGUGGGGCCUACAAACAUCGUCCAGAAAUAACCCAAAGAAACUGCCGCACAGAUAAAGCAAACCUGAUUUCCACUGCGCCUUGGAUUAAAAUCCCAUAUCCACUUCAAUGGGGCGCACCAACAUUUGAUGCUGGUCAUGCCUUUGGAAUGAUGGCUGCUGUACUCGUUUCUAUGAUUGAGUCAACUGGAGCUUACAAAGCGGCAUCUCGCCUAGCAAGUGCUACACCGCCUCCUGCUCAUGUUCUUAGCCGUGGUAUUGGCUGGCAGGGAAUUGGGAUCUUGUUGGAUGGACUCUUUGGGACAGCUACCGGGUCUACAGUCUCUGUAGAAAAUGUUGGUCUUCUUGGAAGCACUCGUGUUGGCAGCCGUAGAGUUAUCCAAAUAUCAGCUGGUUUUAUGAUAUUUUUCUCAAUUCUAGUUGUUGAUGGCCCUUUUGACAUUUCCAGCUUCCGUGGGGUUGUCCUUCUUGCAAUUUACAAACAUGAAUUCAAUGAGAAGCCUCUUUAUCACCGGUGUUUCCCUUUUCCUUGGUUUGUCUAUUCCUGAGUACUUCAGGGAGUAUACCACGGCUGCUCUUCAUGGUCCUGCUCAUACAAAGGCUGGUUGGUUCAAUGAUUUUCUUAAUACCAUCUUCUUAUCCUCUCCCACCGUUGCCUUGAUUGUUUCCGUAUUCCUGGACAAUACACUUGAUUACAAAGACAGUGCUAAGGAUAGGGGAAUGCCAUGGUGGGUAAAGUUCAGGACGUUUAAAGGGGACAGCAGGAAUGAAGAGUUUUACACCCUUCCUUUCAACCUCAAUCGCUUUUUCCCUCCAUCAUGAUUGCAUUGCAAGAGGAAUGGGAAGGCACUUGGAAGGGCUUCUCAUCUGCUGAUAAAGAUUUAUGCUUACACAGAGAACCCUCAUGAGAAAGGGCAGCCAGGGCCAUACAGUUUGAGUCAGUAGAGAAUGACAGAUUUGCCUCCACUGUCACUAUUUUUUCAUUAAUUUGAUAUAUACAAUUUGGGUUAUUUAAGAUUAAUCCAACGAAACGAAUUGGUUUGUUUCCUCCACCGUGUAACAUAACAUUGCUGGCAAUGUUCUAGGGUUCAUUUGUUAGAUGAAGCAUAUAUGGCCUUACCUGAUUGAUACAUAUACCAUUACUAAAACUCACAUGAGAUUCUGAA